AGUAUUAGGAGGAGAGACAAGAUUGAUCCCAUUGUAGUUGAUGAAAUUAAUUCAGAUGAUGAAUGGAUAACUGAGAAAGAAGGUCCAGUUCUCCCCGUAACUACUAAAUGGCUUGAAGAUGAUGAAUUAUUUGAAAGUGAUCCUAUUGUGAGUGUGCCAUCUGCUACCUUUGAAAGUCUUUUCGACUCAGAUAAGCGAGUCGAAGAUGUUGAGGAUAUAGUUGAAGUUCCUCCUACGAAUUCAAAAAAAAGAGUUGCUGAAAAUUCAAGUGGAAGCAAAGACAAACAAGCAAGGUUGAGUCUUGUUGAUGUGGAAGAUAAUCAUCUUGAUGCUGAAAAUUAUGGAGUAAUUCCAACUUUUGAUAGUGGAAAUUUUCCAACCAUAGACACUAUUGAUGAUGAUAGUGAUAUAGAGUUGGAUGAUACUGAUUAUUUUUAAGUUAUGUUGUUUUAAUUAUAAGACUUUUUAAAUUGUUGGUAUGGGAUAUUUUGACAUGUAAUGAAUUAUUAUGAUUAAUUUUAGGUUAUGUUAUUUUUA